rnacentral:rRNA from 1 species
GACGAACGCUGGCGGCGUGCCUAAUACAUGCAAGUAGAACGCUGAAGGAGGAGCUUGCUUCUCUGGAUGAGUUGCGAACGGGUGAGUAACGCGUAGGUAACCUGCCUGGUAGCGGGGGAUAACUAUUGGAAACGAUAGCUAAUACCGCAUAAAAUUGAUUAUUGCAUGAUAGUCAAUUAAAAGGUGCAAUUGCAUCACUACCAGAUGGACCUGCGUUGUAUUAGCUAGUUGGUGGGGUAAAGGCUCACCAAGGCAACGAUACAUAGCCGACCUGAGAGGGUGAUCGGCCACACUGGGACUGAGACACGGCCCAGACUCCUACGGGAGGCAGCAGUAGGGAAUCUUCGGCAAUGGACGGAAGUCUGACCGAGCAACGCCGCGUGAGUGAAGAAGGUUUUCGGAUCGUAAAGCUCUGUUGUAAGAGAAGAACGAGUGUGAGAGUGGAAAGUUCACACUGUGACGGUAUCUUACCAGAAAGGGACGGCUAACUACGUGCCAGCAGCCGCGGUAAUACGUAGGUCCCGAGCGUUGUCCGGAUUUAUUGGGCGUAAAGCGAGCGCAGGCGGUUAGAUAAGUCUGAAGUUAAAGGCUGUGGCUUAACCAUAGUACGCUUUGGAAACUGUUUAACUUGAGUGCAAGAGGGGAGAGUGGAAUUCCAUGUGUAGCGGUGAAAUGCGUAGAUAUAUGGAGGAACACCGGUGGCGAAAGCGGCUCUCUGGCUUGUAACUGACGCUGAGGCUCGAAAGCGUGGGGAGCAAACAGG